rnacentral:rRNA from 1 species
GACUCUCGGCAACGGAUAUCUCGGCUCUCGCAUCGAUGAAGAACGUAGCGAAAUGCGAUACCUGGUGUGAAUUGCAGAAUCCCGCGAACCAUCGAGUCUUUGAA